rnacentral:rRNA from 1 species
GAUGAACGCUGGCGGCGUGCCUAAUACAUGCAAGUCGAGCGAACGGACGAGAAGCUUGCUUCUCUGAUGUUAGCGGCGGACGGGUGAGUAACACGUGGAUAACCUACCUAUAGACUGGGAUAACUUCGGGAAACCGGAGCUAAUACCGGAUAAUAUUUUGAACCGCAUGGUUCAAAAGUGAAAGACGGUCUUGCUGUCACUUAUAGAUGGAUCCGCGCUGCAUUAGCUAGUUGGUAAGGUAACGGCUUACCAAGGCAACGAUGCAUAGCCGACCUGAGAGGGUGAUCGGCCACACUGGAACUGAGACACGGUCCAGACUCCUACGGGAGGCAGCAGUAGGGAAUCUUCCGCAAUGGGCGAAAGCCUGACGGAGCAACGCCGCGUGAGUGAUGAAGGUCUUCGGAUCGUAAAACUCUGUUAUUAGGGAAGAACAUAUGUGUAAGUAACUGUGCACAUCUUGACGGUACCUAAUCAGAAAGCCACGGCUAACUACGUG